UACGUAGGGAGCAAGCGUUGUCCGGAAUCAUUGGGCGUAAAGCGCGCGUAGGCGGCCCUGUAAGUCCGUUGUGAAAGUCAAAGGCUCAACCUUUGAAAGCCGAUGGAUACUGCAGGGCUAGAGUCCGGAAGAGGCGAGUGGAAUUCCUGGUGUAGCGGUGGAAUGCGCAGAUAUCAGGAGGAACACCAGUGGCGAAGGCGACUUCCUGGCCUGUUCUUGACGCUGAGGCGCGAAAGCUAGGGGAGCAAACGGG
rnacentral:rRNA from 1 species